AUUGAACGCUGGCGGCAUGCUUUACACAUGCAAGUCGAACGGUAACAGGGUGCUUGCACCGCUGACGAGUGGCGAACGGGUGAGUAAUACAUCGGAAUGUACCCAGUAAUGGGGGAUAACGCUUCGAAAGGAGUGCUAAUACCGCAUACGCCCUGAGGGGGAAAGUGGGGGACCGCAAGGCCUCACGUUAUUGGAGCAGCCGAUGGCUGAUUAGCUAGUUGGUGAGGUAAAGGCUCACCAAGGCGACGAUCAGUAGCGGGUCUGAGAGGAUGAUCCGCCACACUGGGACUGAGACACGGCCCAGACUCCUACGGGAGGCAGCAGUGGGGAAUUUUGGACAAUGGGCGCAAGCCUGAUCCAGCCAUGCCGCGUGUCUGAAGAAGGCCUUCGGGUUGUAAAGGACUUUUGUCCGGGAGCAAAUGCCUGGUGUUAAUAGCAUCGGGAGCUGAGAGUACCGGAAGAAUAAGCACCGGCUAACUACGUGCCAGCAGCCGCCGUAAAAC
rnacentral:rRNA from 1 species